rnacentral:rRNA from 1 species
GGCACCUGGAUGUGGAUUCUCCACGGCAACGUAACUGAACGCGGAGACGUCGGCGGGGGUCCUGGGAAGAGUUAUCUUUUCUUCUUGACGGUCUGUCACCCUGAAAUCGGUUUGUCCGGAGCUAGGGUUCAACGGCCGGCAGAGCGCCGCACCUUUGCGGCGUCCGGUGUGCCCCCGACGACCCUUGAAAAUCCGCGGGAAGGAAUAGUUUUCACGCCAGGUCG